rnacentral:piRNA from 1 species
UGAUAUUGGUGUGGAUGAAUAUCUUCA